CUGGACUACAAGAUCCCGGAU
rnacentral:miRNA from 1 species